ACUGAGCCCCUCAAAAGACUGUGGC
rnacentral:piRNA from 1 species